rnacentral:lncRNA from 1 species
CCUCCUCAUACCUCCCUUUUUUGUAUUCCACUUCAAUUUAUUGGUUCAGCAAAUCCUUACCAUUAGAUUUUAACCCAUUUAUAACCAUUUUUCAUAUUCUCUUAAAGCAUUACAGCUAGAAACCACUUAGUUACUAUCCAACAUCAUUCUAACAUUCAUUAAUUUUACAAUAUUUCUGUAAGUAGUCUUUAAAUUUCUUCCAAUCUUCUUCCACCAACUCUUCUCCCUGGUCUCGGAUUCUGCUAGUCAUUUCCGCCAAUUCCAUAUAGUCCAUCACCUUCAUCUGCCAUUCUUCCCGGGUGGGUAGAUCUUGUGUCUUCCAAUACUUUGCAAUGAGUAUUCUUGCUGCUGUUGUAGCAUACAUAAAAAAGUUCUGUCCUUCUUUGGCACCAAUUGGCCAACAAUGCCCAGAAGAAAGGCCUCUGGUUUCUUCAAGAAGGUAUAUUUAAAUACCUUUUUCAGUUCAUUAUAUAUCAUUUCCCAGAAAGCCUUAAUCCUUGGGCACGUCCACCAAAGGUGAAAGAAUGUACCUUCAGUUUCUUUACAUUUCCAACAUUUAUUAUCGGGCAAAUGAUAGAUUUUUGCAAGCUUGACUGGAGUCAUGUACCACCUGUAUAUCAUUUUCAUAAUAUUCUCUCUUAAGGCAUUACAUGCCGUAAACUUCAUACCUGUGGUCCAUAACUGUUCCCAGUCAGCAAACAUAAUAUUAUGUCCAAAAUCUUGUGCCCAUUUAAUCAUCGCAGAUUUCACCGUUUCAUCCUGAGUAUUCCAUUUCAACAGCAAGUUAUACAUUCUUGACAAAUUUUUAGUUUUGGGUUCUAACAGUUCUGUUUCUAAUUUUGAUCUUUCCACCUGGAAGCCAAUUUUCUUAUCCAGAUUAUAUGCCUCCAUUAUCUGGUAAUAAUGAAGCCAAUCUCUCACUUUAUUUUUUUAGUUUCUCGAAACUCUGCAAUUUCAAUUUGUCUCCUUCUUGUUCCAAAAUUUCCCAAUAUUUCGGCCAUUUGGCCUCCAUAUUGAGCCUUUUCAGAGCUUUCGCUUCCAUCGGUGACAACCACCUUGGGGUUUUAUUUUCCAAUAAAUCCUUGUAUCUUAUCCAAACAUUAAACAGUGCUUUCCUGACAAUAUGAUUUUUAAAUGCUUUAUGUGCUUUGACCUUAUCAUACCAUAAAUAUGCAUGCCAUCCAAAUACGUUGUUGAAACCUUCCAAAUCCAAAAUGUCUGUAUUUUCAAGAAGUAGCCAUUCUUUCAACCAGCAAAAAGCUGCUGAUUCAUAAUAAAGUUUAAAGUCUGGCAGGGCAAAUCCACCUCUUUCCUUUGCAUCAGUUAAUAUCUUGAAUUUUAUUCUGGGCUUCUUGCCCAGUUUUUAAUAUUUAAUGCUGUACUUGAUUAGGAGCCGCCCAGAGUGGCUGGGGAAACUCAGUCAGACGGGCGGGAAAUAAAUAAAUUAUUAUUAUUAUUAUUAUUAUUAUUAUUAUUAUUAUUAUUCUAGACUAGUCCAAAUAUCGGCGCUACUUUUUUCCCUUCAAACCCCUCUUCUCCCAAUCGCUGCUUCUCAAGUCCGUUCCCAAACCGUUCUUCUCCUUCUGUCUUUGUUGUCCGUUGCCGUCUUGUCAUUCUAGUCUCUCCCUUCCCCUACUGUUGCUUUCUCGAUAUUUCUACACUCAGAUAUUUCUCCACGUGCUUGCAAGUAAAGAUACAAACAUGCAAGCUGGAUUAUAAUGUCCAUAAAAUUUAGGAAAUUCUAUUCCUUACUGGCACAGUUAAGGAGAACUAUAACA